AUUGAACGCUGGCGGCAGGCCUAACACAUGCAAGUCGAGCGAGCGGCGGACGGGUGAGUAAUGUCUGGGAAACUGCCUGAUGGAGGGGGAUAACUACUGGAAACGGUAGCUAAUACCGCAUACCCUCAGAUGUGCCCAGAUGGGAUCAGCUAGUAGGUGGGGUAACGGCUCACCUCGUCGACGAUCCCUAGCUGGUCUGAGAGGAUGACCAGCCACACUGGAACUGAGACACGGUCCAUACUCCUACGGGAGGAAGCAGUGGGGAAUAUUGCACAAGGGGCGCAAGCCUGAUGAAGCCAUGCCGCGGGUUUGAAGAAGUCCUUCGGGUGGUAAAGCACGUUCAGCGGGGAGGCGGUACCCGCAGAAGAAGCACCGGCUAACUCCGUGCCAGCAGCCGCGGUAAUAC
rnacentral:rRNA from 1 species